UUUACCUAUUUCCGGCGGCGGUGGAAAGAGGAAGAACCGAAAGGUCUCUUUCGAUUUUGGCCCUUUUCGUCGGGAUUUCGGCUUUUCUAACCCCAGAUCUGGACCCUAUUCGCAAAAAGGAGAAAAAGGGAGCUUUUUUGGUUUUCCGGCCACCGCGAACGGCGGCGGCGUCGCCGGCGUCCGGCGACCGGUGCGGUGGUCGAUGGCCGGCAAAGGGGGCUCUUCCUCUCUUUUUACGGACACAAGAACAAUAAAAACAUAAACUUUGAAUCGGAGAAGUAAUUUUCGUUUCUUUAUUUUUGUGUGUUUUUACAUCUAGUUCGAUUUCUUUUUAUUUCUUUCUACUUACGAAAAUAAAAACAAAAGAAAUAAGGAGAGGAGAAACUCACCGGAGUUGGCCGUGACCGUGCCGCCGGGGUUUUUCUUCCAUCGUCGGCCGUCGGUCUUGGUGGCGUGGUGGCACUCAAGGUGUUAAGAAACCCAAGUGUUGGGUGUUUAAAAAAAUGGUGGUUUGACAAAAAGCAGAGCCUUUUUCCUCUAGCAAAUUCAAAAAGUGAAAGAAUAAAAAUAUAAAACAUUUUUUGUCUUUUUUUUCAAUCAUGAACGGUGCAUUAGUGGGGAAUCUUGCACAUGCUUGUCCUUAAUGGGUAAUUUAUGCAUUUAGUCCCUCCAUCUUGCGUUGAAAUGCAAUCAAACCUUUUAUUUUUUUUUGAUUUGGGCCGCGAGUUUUGUUUCUGUUUCAAUCAGGUCCUUUGACCAUGUAUGGUCCUUUGCGCUGAAAUGAUGCACUCUAGGACUAGGGAAUAUUUCCCUUUUCAGUCCUUCCCUUUUCGCGCGCCUCACAUUUUAAUCCUUUACUCUAUUUCAUUUUUGAUUUCAGCCCUGAGAUUUCGUUUCCGUUUUGAUUUAGUCCUAUUAUUAUUAUUAUUAUUAUUAUUAUUAUUAUUACCUAUUUGUUUAUAUUUAUUUUAUUUAAUUUUCGGCACAUAUAUACAUAUACAUGCAUAUAUUUUUGUGAUAUACAUACAUUGUUUUUAUAACAUAUAUACUUAUAUAGUUUAUAUAUUUUACAACUUAUGUACAUAUCUAUAUAUCUAUAUAUAUAUUUUCAUUUUCCUAAAUAUAUACAUAUUUAUAUAUAAUCUUUAUAGUUUAAAAUAUACUUUUUUUUAUAAAUCCGUAUAUACACACAUAUUACUAUUAAUUUAUAUACAUACAUAUCCUUUUAUUUUAUAAGUAUAUAUAUUUUAUAUGCACGUACAUACAUAUUUUUUUAUAUCUUAAUUUACAUAAAUAUAUAUAUAUACAUUUUCAAUAUAUUUUUUUAACAUGUAUCAAAAUUAACGUGUUUAUUCGUAUACAUACGUAUAUUUUCAUUAUUUUUAAACUUUAAUUUGUACAUACAUACUUUCUUUUAUUUUUUAACAUAUAUAUGUACUUACUUUUAUAUGUAUUUUAUUAUUUUCAUAUUCCAUAGUUUUAUACACCCAUAUAUAUGUACAUAUUUUUAUAUAUACACAUUUAUCGUUUCUUUUAUAUAUUAAAACAUACUUUAUACAUUUUGUUAAUUUAUAUAUAUACAUAUUUUAGUUUAUGUCUAUAUAUAUCUUUUUAUAUUUAAUGGUAUUUGUUACUUAUUUAUUUCAUUUUCGUCAUUAUGAAUGUUUUAAUUUAUUUGUUUAUAUAUAUUGUUAUUUUAUAUGAUUGUAGGUAUGACUUCUAUUUAUUUUAUAUUGUUGCUAUUGCUCGUAUUAUUUUUUAUUUUUAUGUGUAUUAUGAUUUUACCACGUAUAACAACAAUGUAAUUUGCUUUCACAUUUUUUACUACGAUUUUCGUGUUUUAUUUUACUCGAUAUAACAAAAUUUGUUUUAAAAAUAUUUCGUGUUUAGAUUCGAAAGGAUCGUACUCUAACUUACUGGGUUUCGAUUUUCAUAAUAAAUCUAAAUACACGAAUCUUUUCAAACUCAAGUUUUUAAACGAUCUCGGGAAUUAAGAAAAGAUCGUGCCCUAACUUACUGGGCCUGAUUUAUUUCUAAAACCAAGAUAAUAAAAUAUCUUUUAAAUAAGCAUUUUUCAUCCGCGUAUCGGGAAUUUGAGACAUUGUGUCCUAACUUACUAGAUAUGAUUCUCUUUCUCGAAUAACGUGAAAUAUCCCUUUUUUUCCUGAAAAUUUUCAACGUUUUAAUACAAGGGUCGUAUUUUUAAAAUUCUUCAAGGUUCUCAAUUUUUGACAUUAAGACAUUAAGUAAUCAACUAGGUACCAAUUUUGGGCGUAUCGAGGGUGCUAAUCCUUCCUCGUGCGUAACCGACUCCCGAACCCGUUUUUCUAAAUUUCGUGGACCAAACUUGUUGUUUUAAUAAAAUCAAACCGUUUAUUAAAAACAACCCCUCUUUGAGGUGAUCCAAUCGCACCUUAUAAAAAAAAGAGGAUUGGUGGCGACUCCCGUUUCUUUUUUUUCAAAACCCAAGUCAACCCCAUUUUUCAUCCUAAAAAACAGUGUCAACAGCUUGGCGACUCCGCUGGGGAAAACCACUAAGAGGGUCAAGCCACGUGGUGAUUACUUUUUGUCUUUUGUCAAAAAUUGAAAAUUCGGUUUAAAAUUACGAUCCUUUCAUCGCAUUUUAUCUGUCUUUAUCAUAAUCAUCACCAUUGGGGUUUAUAUUUGCUCUGUUUGUUUAAAUUUUGGUAUCUUUCCGCAUUGCAUUGCAUGACCGUUGGUCACACCUUUAAGUGGGAGUGAGAAGCUACGCCUUCGUGAGGUUUUCACCUCCGCAUGGGAUAGUGAAUCGCUUUCGGGAUAUAUCCGUACCUAUGUCUUCGUGAGAUUUUCAUCUCCGCAUGGCCAUAGGGAAAUGUAUCCCCCUGAAUCGAACUUGGUCCGUAUGAGCCUAUAAUGGGUGAGGAUCGAGGAAUUUGCUGGUUCAGGUACCCUACUUUAGAACCAAACCACAUGUAAUGAGCCAUAGGAACUGACCUAGGUAGAGCUACUCCAAAUUUUUAGUGCUUACCUAAAUGAAUGUUGUAUUUAUUGUCGCUUAUUUUAAAUCUUAUUCUGUGUUUAAUGCUAAUUUACUUUGUGUGUGAUUGCAUGGCAUCUUCAUUCUAAAAGAGGUAUCGAUUUACGUUCAGUUUCUUGGUAGAAAGCUUAUCAUGGAAAAGGGGUUUGUUGAUAAAGUAGAGGAUAAUGUGGCUGUGCGAAUGUGGGCUGAAACGACACAACGGGAGAAAGGCGAUAGUCUUACCGAAGGGUACGUGUCAGAAUUGUGAGAUUUUACCCGUAUCAGUGUAAUCCAGAAUGACCUUCGAGAAAUGAAAGAAGUCUGGGAUCAAUGGGAUGUCGAGGCCAAGCAGCUGUUCUAUUGUAACUACGGUGACCUACCUUAUCUGCUUAGUGUCAAAGUGGACAAGUAUUUAUUCCGAGCCCUUGCUCAGUUUUGGAAUCCUGCCUACAGUUGUUUCACUUUUGGGAAGGUAGAUUUGACGCCUACUGUGGAGGAGUAUACGACCUUGCUUCGGUGCCCAAAGAUUCAAGUCGGCAAGGCUUAUUCCAGAGCUGCUUGUGUCCCUCCGUUGUUAAAGAAAUUAAUGAACAUCACUGGAAUGAGCGAGCAGUGGGUCGCAGCCCGGAUCCAACAGAAGGGCGACAGUAAAUGUGUUCCUUGGAAAAGUUUGCGAGAUUUGGUGCUGGUACAUCCUGACUUAAAGAAAAGGGUCGAUGUCUUCGCUUUAGGUAUCUAUGGACUAGUGGUUUUCCCCAAAACUUUAGGACACAUAGACGAGGCUGUAUCUGAUUUGUUUGAUCGGCUUAGUAAAGGGGUUACACCGGUUCCGGCAAUACUCGCUGAAACUUUUAGAUCCUUGAAUGCGUGUCGAAAAGCAGGGGAGGGAAGGUUUAUUGGAUGCGCGCAGCUCUUAUUAGCAUGGUUCCAUAGCCACUUCUGGAAAGUCGAAAAGGUCUCUUAUCAGGUAUUCUCUGAUAACUACUCCCCUCUAGGAGAAUUGGUGGCCACGCCAAGACGGGAUGAUCUUUCAGAAGAAAAAUGGAUAGAGAUACUCCAGAAUCUCCAGGAUGAAAAUAUUGAAUGGAGGGCUCCUUGGUUAAUUCCUGAUGAGAUAUUGUACCGAUGUGGAGAUUUUGACUGGGUUCCGCUGCUCGGGAUAUGGGGAACUAUCGGAUAUGCUCCUCUACUCGUAUCAAGACAGUAUAGAUCACGACAAUUCAUACCAGCAAUGCAGGGGUUGGCCUAUUGUGAUUUUUCCUAUAGGGAGGACAACUACAAGAAGAAGGUUCGAAAAAUAUCUAGUGCCUGGAACCAGACUCGUCGAAUAAAGAUCUUAGCCGUAGGUCUGACAAUUACCCCCGAGUAUAGUCAGUGGCGUGAUCAAAGGAUCAACGACAACAUCCCGGCGUCAAAUUCAGAAACUGCUCGAUCUUUAGAGGAACACUUACAAGUUUUUCCUUCUGAGAUAGAAAUCAUCAAACAAGAAUUUGAAAAAAGGAGUUUAGAAUUGGGGAAGAAGAUAGAACAACUAGAGGAAGAAAAAAUGCAGUUAGGACUGGAUGUGGACAUUCAAAUAUUAGAGGCCGAUAAAUUGAGAAAAGGAAAGAACAAUGCAGAAGAAGAUUUGGACAGCCUGAAGACAGAUUACAAGAAGUUGCGUAGGUCGGUAAGAGCUGCUGGCUUGGGUAAAACGCCAGAACAAUGGCGACAAGAAAUUCAGGAGGAAAAGACGAAAGCUAAUCAAUGGGAAAAGAAAUUUCAGGAUACUCGGGCUCGGGAAGUCACCUUGGGAAAGAGUCUACUAGUUUGCCAAGACGAGAAGACGGAGUUGAAGGUUCGGAUAACUGAACUAGAAAGAUCGCUUCACCAGUACUGUAAUCGUAAUGCUACGGUUGAAUUAAGGGCGAGCUUAGACAAGAUUGAAGAAUUAAAAGGACAAAUAGGAGGGCUAGAGAAUGCAUUGCAAAAUAGUGAAAUCCAGAUAGAGCUUCUGGAAGAAAAUAAUGAGCAGUGGCAAAGACAAUUCUGUCGGUCUCAAGAGCAGAUUAGAGAAAGAGAUUAUAUUAUGGGAGAGGCGGUGACUCAAGUGCGCGAAGUAGCUGAUCAUCUGCAAACUCUAGCGGUUCAGGCUGAUCUAUUAAGUUUGAAGUAUGAGUCAGAGUCAGACAGGGGCCGAGAAUUAGCUUGGCUUCUUAGAAAUGUUAAGGCUUUGAGUGUAAGGGCAAAGCCAUAUAUGUAGUCUAUUUUAUGUAAAGAAACUCUUUAUCUAGUAAAGUUUUCUAAUGAAGUUGAAUUAGAAUCAGUGCCUCUUUUUCUUUGCAUUCUUUUCAUGCAUUGCAUCACAUCAUAUGCAUUAAUGACCAUUAAAAACCUAAUCGAAUAAAAUCAUUUCAGUUAACCUGGAAAACCAACAAAGUUACGGCACCCGAGCUAAGACAAAAAUUAUGGACCAAAGGUUGGAGAAGCUAGAGCGACUUCAAAAAGAAAUGCAAGACCAGUUGCAGGCGCAAAUGAAAGAGCAAAUAGAAAAGAUUCAGCGUGACAUGGUGCGAAAGAUGGAGGAGUCCCAAAAUGAUCUGGUGGCUAAGAUGACGCAAUUAUUGAAGGGAAUAGAUAGGGGUAAAGGUCCUGUGAUUGUUAGUGAAGAAGAAAACAAUGGGGAACCACUUUAUCCUCCAGGUUUCACGCCUCCGCAUGCGCAAGUACAGACUGAGCUGCAUCCGCGGAGACCCUCUGUGUCGGUUAGGCCCCAGCAGUUCCAAGGCGAUGCUUCAAUCCCAAUGAAUUUUCAACCCGGAGCGGGCUUUAAUCCCGGUGAUAGCCCGAAUAAUAUUGCUGUCCCAAAUCUUGACGAGAUGGUUGAAAAGGACAAGGCGAAGGAGGAAUUUCCAAAACAAUUUGAGGAGAAAUGGAAAUGGAUAGAAGAGAAGUUUAGGGCAAUAGAAAGCAUCGAAAGCUAUGGAAUAGAUGCAAAGGAUCUGAGCUUGGUUCCGAACUUGGUGCUCCCUUACAAAUUUAAGAUGCCGGAAUUUGAGAAAUACAAUGGGACUAGUUGUCCAGGAUCCCAUAUUACUAUGUUUUGUAGAAGAAUGACGGGGCAUAUUAAUAAUGAUCAAUUAUUAAUACAUUGUUUUCAGGAAAGUCUUACGGGAGCAGCGUCAAAGUGGUACAAUCAGCUGAGCCGAGCUAAAAUUGCUACUUGGAGGGAUUUAGCACAGGCUUUCCUGAGACAAUACAAUCAUGUCUCAGAAAUGAUGCCUGACAGGAUAACUCUGCAAAAUUUAGAGAAGAAAUCGAACGAAAGCUUCAGACAAUAUGCGCAGAGGUGGCGAGAGGUGGCGGUUCAGGUGCAACCACCGCUUUUGGAAAAAGAGAUGACGACGCUUUUUAUUAAUACUUUGAAAGCCCCGUUCAUCACUCACAUGUUGGGAAGCGCUUCAAAAAAUUUCUCGGAUAUAAUCAUGAAUGGUGAAAUGAUUGAGCAUGCUAUUAAAAGUGGAAAAAUAGAUGGAGGAGAAAAUAAUAGGAGGGCACCCCCGAGGAAAAGAGAAAAUAAAGUGAAUAAUGUGAAUGCUUAUGGUAGGUCAAUUACCGUGAAUCAACCAAAGAAAGUGGUUUCUAAUCAACAAGGAUCAUCAAGACAAGAGUCGGGAGCUAGGCAAACUACUGAAAAGCCCCAAUUCACGCCAAUCCCGAUGUCAUACAAGGAGUUGUAUCAGACUUUAUUCGAUGCACAUGUUGUUGCUCCCCGUUACUUGAAUCCUCUACAACCCCCGUAUCCAAAAUGGUAUGAUAUGAACGCGCAAUGUGAUUAUCAUGCGGGAAUUUCUGGGCACUCGAUAGAAAAUUGUACUGCCUUCAAGAAGGUAGUAGAAGGACUUAUCAAUUUAGGUGUCGUCAAACUUGACGACUCACCUAACGCAAAGAAUCCGUUACCUAAUCACGCAGAUAAGGGGAUGAAUAUGGUUAGCGAAGGUACGGGAGAAGAAGUCAAGACUGACAUUGCUGAAGUAAAAACUCCAUUGAAACGGGUCUGGAAAGAAAUGGCGAAAAGAGGGUUGGUUAUUUCAGAUUCUGAGGAAGGGCAUGAGAUGGGAAAUUAUUGUGAAUUUCACCAUAAAACAGGGCAUGAAAUCCAAGAAUGUGAAGGAUUCAAGGCUUUGGUUCAAAGCAUGAUGGAUAACAAGGAGAUGAGGUUUUAUGAAGAUGCGAGAGAAAUGAGAAGCAUAUGCGCGACAGAGUUGGGAACAAAGGCUCCAAAAAUAAAUCAUCCUGUGGUCAUUAUCUCACGCCCUAGGGGUAAUGAGGUUAGGGCUCAGGUAACACCGAAAAUUGUAAUCCAGAAACCAUCAAAUUUCUCUUAUAGGGAUAACAAAAUGGUGCCGUGGAAUUACGGGUGUAAUGUGACCAUUUUGGGAAAAGGAGCAGAAAGAAAUCAGGAAAUAGGUUCUUACACGCGCAAUGGAAAAAGAUAUGACGCUCAAGCAGAGUCGUCCAGGGAAGAAAAUUGGAAGAAAGAACAGAGAAAAGGGAAAGCAGUAGAAGUUGAGCCAUUGGUAAAUGAACCAAUAAAAGAAGAAGAGGCAAAUGAGUUUUUGAAGUUUUUGAAACACAGUGAAUACAGUGUUGUGGAGCAACUGCACAAACAGCCAGCCCGCAUUUCUGUAUUAGCUUUACUCCUAAACUCAGAAGUACAUCGGAAUGCACUUUUAAAGGUGCUAAACGAAACAUAUGUGGCUGACGAUAUUUCGGUAAACAAGCUGGAUCGGUUGAUCAACAAUAUUGGUGCUGACAAUUUUAUCUUCUUCAAUGAUGAUGAAAUACCAUCCGGAGGAAGAGGUUCUACUAAAGCCCUGCAUGUUACUGUCUGAUGUAGAGGGUACACACUCCCGGGGGCCUUGGUUGAUAAUGGAUCUGCACUAAAUGUAUUGCCUUUGUCCACUCUUAGUCGAUUACCAAUAGACAGUUCGCACAUGAAAGCAUGCCAGAGCAUAGUAAGGGCAUUUGAUGGAACAAAAAAAGAGGUUAUGGGGAGAAUUGAGGUACCAUUAAGGAUUGGCCCAGUCACUUAUGAGGUGGAUUUCUUGGUAAUGGAUAUUAAACCCUCCUACAACUGUCUAUUGGGGAGACCGUAGAUACACUCAGCAGGGGCAGUACCUUCAUCAUUACAUCAGAAGGUGAAGUUGGUAUCGGAGGAUCGGUUGGUAACAAUAGAUGCAGAGGAGGAUAUUAUCGCAAUGAUGACUAGCGAUGCACCUUAUGUGGACAUCAACGAUGAGGCACUAGAAUGUUCUUUUCGGUCGUUAGAAUUUGUGAACGCGAUGUUUAUUGCGGAGGGAAAUAGAAUUCCAGUACCGAAAAUAUCCAGGACCACUGAGAUGGGAUUGCGAUUGAUGGUAGGAAGAGGAGCCUUACCCGGGAAAGGAUUGGGAAAAUAUCUUCAGGGAAGGAUUGAGGCACCAAUGCCGAAGGAAAAGUUUGAUAGAUUUGGUUUAGGAUACAAGCCAGACAUGAAGCAGAAGAAGAAAGAAGUAGAGAAGAGACAAGAGAGAAGAAGGGCGCGUUUGAAUGGACAUGGAGCUAAGUGUGAGCCUUUAACCUUUCCCCACAUAUCUACAUCUUUUAUGUCGGGAGGAUUUAUUCAUUCUGAAUGUGGAGUGUCCGGUAGCGGCAUGGGAGGAAUGUUGGAAAACGUUUAUACUAACGCCAUAGAAGCAACGAAAAGGAGGGCUUUGUUGGAGAUUUACCCUUAUGAGCCUGGAAGCGAGCUAAACAAUUGGACUGCUGAAGAAAUCCCUGUAGUCUUUAGGGCUUAUUCAGAGUAAUGCUCAAAACAUUCCUGUUGUUUGUUGGCCUAGAAACGAUAUGAAAUCUUUUGUGAAAUAGGCAUUGGGCCUAAAUAUCAUUAUUUUAAUAAAAUACGUGUCUACGUUCAUCUCGAUCAGUCAUUUUUUUCCUUUCAUAUUUUUCAUUUGGUUGAUUGUCUUACAAAUAAUUCUUUCAUUUGUAAUUCUUUUGCACAAACAUAUUCAUAAAUUUAUAUUCUUGGUAUAUUCUUUGAUCUACCCACAUAGGUCUUCAGAUAUCAAUGACAUGAGUGACGCUGCCUCAAACGCGGAGCCUAUUUUUGAGCAAGAAGUGUGUUCAGAGGGAUCCCACGACUUUGAAAAUGACGAAGAUUAUGAUGCAUCUCCGGACUUGUUAAGAAUGAUGGAACAAGAGGAUAAGCAUAUCCUACCUCAUAGGGAAUCGUUAGAAAUAGUGAGCCUAGAGGAUGGAAAGGAGGUGAAAAUUAGAACUGAAAUCACCGCAAAGACAAGGCAAGACCUCAUCAAUUUGCUCCGAGAGUUCAAGGAUGUUUUCGCGUGGUCGUACCAAGAUAUGCCUGGGCUAAGUACUAACAUUGUGGUGCAUCGUCUGCCCAUAAAUGAGGAUUGUAAACCCGUUCAACAGAAGCUUAGGAGAAUGAGACCUGACAUUAUGUUGAAAAUAAGAGAAGAAGUCAAAAGACAAUUCGACGCUGGUUUCUUACAAGAGGUCAAGUAUUCGGAUUGGGUAGCCAACAUCGUCCCUGUUCCCAAAAAAGAUGGAAAGGUACGAAUGUGUGUGGAUUAUAAGGAUUUAAACAAGGCUAGUCCAAAGGACAACUUUCCACUGCCUCAUAUUGAUACUUUGGUAGAUAACACGGCGGGCUAUUCAUUGUUUUCUUUCAUGGACGAUUUUUCUGGAUACAAUCAAAUAAAGAUGCAUCCUGGAGAUAUGAGGAAAACCACAUUCAUUACCUUAUGGGGAACAUUCUGUUACAAGGUAAUGCCCUUCGGAUUGAAGAAUACGGGAGCAACAUAUCAAAGAGCUAUGGUGACUUUGUUUCACGACAUGAUGCACAAAGAGAUCGAAGUCUAUGUUGACGAUAUGAUCGCGAAGUCUAGAACGGAAGAAGAGCAUGUUCAGGUCUUGAAAAAGUUAUUUUUGAGAUUAAAGAAAUUUCAGCUCAAGCUUAACCCGGCCAAAUGCACGUUUGGAGCCAGAUCAGGGAAGUUAUUAGGCUUCAUAGUUAGCAAAAAGGGGAUCGAGGUUGACCCAGACAAAGUAAAGGCAAUACGAGAUUUACCUCCCCCGCGCACUCAGAAGGAGGUUCGAGGUUUCCUAGGGAGGCUGAAUUACAUUGCUCGGUUCGUCUCACAACUGACAGAGAAAUGUGAUCCAGUAUUCCGGCUCUUAAAGAAACAUAAUCCGGGUGAAUGGGAUGAAGAGUGUCAGAGGGCUUUCGAUAAGAUAAAGCAGUACUUGGCUAAUACCCCAGUCUUAUCACCUCCAAGUCCAGAUAGGCCAUUGAUAUUGUAUCUAACAGUGUUGGAGAAUUCCAUGGGAUGCGUAUUGGGCCAACAUGAUGAGACAGGAAAGAAAGAAAGGGCAAUAUACUACCUCAGUAAAAAAUUUACCGAUUGCGAAAUGAGGUACUCAUCAAUUGAGAAGUUGUGUUGCGCUCUAAUCUGGGCAACCCGAAGACUGAGGCAGUAUAUGUUGUAUCACACGACUUGGCUGAUUUCAAAGUUAGAUCCUUUAAAGUAUAUGAUGGAAUCGACUGCUUUGAACGGGAGAAUGGCUAGAUGGCAGAUCUUGCUUUCAGAAUUUGAUAUAGUAUAUGUCAGUCAGAAGGCCAUAAAGGGAAGUGCAAUAGCCGAUUUCCUAGCUAAUAGAGCCUUGGAGGACUAUGAAUCUUUGAAUUUCGAUUUUCCAAACGAGGACUUGAUGUAUGUGGCGAAUACUGAAGAAAAUCCUCAAAUGGAUCACGUAUGGAAGUUAAAUUUUGAUGGAGCUUCAAAUGCUACGGGUAAUGGAGUUGGGGCAGUUUUGGUAUCCCCAAGUGGAGAUCAUUAUCCUGUUGCUAGCAAGUUGGACUUCGAUUGUACAAAUAACAUGGCAGAAUAUGAAGCAUGUAUUAUGGGCAUUCGUGCAGCCAUUGAACGGAACAUCAAAGUACUGAGAGUAUACGGGGAUUCAGCGUUGGUGAUAUACCAACUCAAAGGGGAGUGGGAGACUAGGGAUCCUAAGCUAAUCGGUUAUAGAAAAUUAGUUCUUGAAUUGGCUGAGGAGUUUGACGAUAUCACCUUCUAUUACCUCCCACGGGAGGAAAACUAAAUGGCUGAUGCUUUAGCUACUCUAGCUUCGAUGAUUCAGGUGAAUAGACUUGAGGCAAUGAGGCCUGUUCAGAUGAGUAUCUCUGAGACCCCGGCUAAUUGCUGCAAUAUUGAGGAGGAGGGAAAAGAUGAUUGUCAUUGGUAUCAGAGUAUCCUACAAUAUGUGAAGAAUCGGGAAUACCCUGAUCAAGCGACAGAGAAUGACAAAAGAACUCUGAGAAAGAUAGCCAUUGAAUAUGUCUUAGAUGGAGAAGUGUUAUAUAAAAGAAGGAAGGAUCAAGUACUGUUAAGGUGUGUGGAUGCUGUGGAAGCCAAGAAAAUUUUGGAAGAAGUCCAUGAGGGUAUUUGUGGGACGCACGCCAGUGGUUUCACGAUGGCCAGACAGAUCAUGAGAUUUGGGUACUAUUGGCCCACCAUGGAAGGAGAUUGUAUUGAUUAUGCCAGGAAGUGCCACAAAUGCCAAAUUUACGGAGACAAAAUACACGUGCCCCCUUCACCUCUUCACGUCAUGACCUCUCAUUGGCCGUUUUCCAUGUGGGGUAUGGAUGUUAUUGGGCCAAUAUCACCAAAGGCUUCUAAUGGGCAUCGCUUCAUCUUCGUAGUAAUUGAUUACUUUACUAAGUGGGUGGAGGCUGCUUCAUAUGCAAAUGUCACGAAAGCAGUAGUCAGCAAAUUCUUGAAGAAGGAGAUCAUUUGUCGAUAUGGAAUGCCUGAGAGGAUCAUAUCCGACAAUGCGAUGAACUUGAAUAAUAGCACAAUAGCUGAAGUUUGUAGCAAAUUUAAAAUUAAGCAUCAUAACUCAUCACCGUAUCGUCCCAAAAUGAAUGGUGCAGUGGAGGCGGCCAAUAAGAACAUUAAAAGGAUUGUGGGGAAAAUGACUGAAACCUACAAGGAUUGGCAUGAGAAAUUAUCAUUUGCUCUCCUUGCCUAUCGAACAUCUGUUAGAACUUCUACUGGGGCAACGCAUUUUUCUCUGGUUUAUGGAAUGGAGGCAGUAUUACCCAUUGAAGUUGAAAUCCCUUCUCUACGGGUGUUAUCUGAGCUACAGUUGGAUGAAGCCGAUUGGAUCCAAUCUCGGUACGAUCAGUUGAACCUAAUAGAAGAAAAGAGGCUAAAAGCUAUUCAUCAUGGGCAAAUGUACCAGAAACGAAUGAUGCGAGCCUAUAAUAAAAAGGUUCGCCCCCGAGAAUUUCGUGAAGGGGACUUGGUACUAAAAAAGAUUCUUCCUAUGCAAAAAGAUUUUAGAGGAAAAUGGAUGCCAAAUUGGGAAGGCCCUUAUGUUGUAAAGAAGGCCUUUUCUGGUGGAGCUUUGAUCCUAUGCGAGAUGGAUGGCAAAAGUUUACCAAAUCCUGUAAACGCAGACUCCGUCAAGAAAUACUUCACUUGAAAGAAAGGGGAACCAAAGUGAAAACCCGUGAAGGGCGCUUUGCUUCCUAAAAAAAAAAAACUUUGGAGAGGCUAAGGUGAAAACCCGUAAAUGGCACUUUGAGACCAAAGAGGGCUUGAGUCGAAAACCCGAAAAAGGCGACUCAAGUACUGGGCAGGAUUGGAACAUCAGGAUUUGAGCGGAUCAAAUUUUGAUCGGGGGCAUAUGAUUAUCUUGCUUUACUUGAACCAAUAAGAAAGGAUAUGCAACGUCUUGGAUCAUGGACAGAGUAUUGCAGAUCUCCUGAACACAUGUCAAACUCAGAAGGGUCUUCGGAAAGUUUGUACAGAGAAACUCAAGCUGCGAUAACUAGGGCACCUAGUUCUUAUGUGUAUUCUUGAAAAUACAUUCUUUUAUUUUCUUUCUUUCUUCCUUUCUUUUUGUGAAAACGCACAUUCUCAAUCCACUUCUUUGUUAACCUUCUUUCGCCAUCUUUGAUGUUUUAUUCGAGUUAUGAUCGGAACUAGCUUUAUUCUUAUCCAUUGUUGUGAUCUUUUUGCAAAUAUGUUGCAUAGGAAUAAUGAUUAACAAACUAAUAAAACUUUCAGGAAAGAAGUUUUGCACAUUACUCUGGAAAAUUUCUAAAUAAUAUAGGGACCUGAAACAUGACUAUUGUUUAGAAAAUACCAAGUUUAAAGGGUGAAAUAUCUAAGAAGGAAGAGUCUAAGUUAAAGACUAUCCUUUCAGAUUUUGUUGUCUAAACAUUGAUUGAACAAAAUGACAAGCUGUCGUGUUACAAAGCUUAAAUGAACAAGCAAGCAAUGAUCAUCAGGCAAUAGGAAGAGGUUACCUCGGAGAAGAGAGCCUUCACUUGCGCAUAAGACUUUGGUACGACACCUUGAGAAUGGUGUAGGAAACCAGAACGGUUCAGAUCCUAUAUCCCCGAAUUGUGAUAAAAGAGGACAGAGGAAAAGCCACAUAUUUCUACCCUUAGAUUACUGUGAGAGAAUGAUGGUACAAAUUUUGGCGUCCCAGUGGAUAUAACUUUGAGGUUUACAAUGGGGACAGUCUGGCUAAAUGUUUCUUCAGAAAAGUCAGUCAAGCGAGAAGGCGUUGAAGCACGUCAGUCACAAAGCCUUAGUAAACUUCGAGUAAUGACAACCUAAGCGAGAUCAUUCUCGGAAAAAUAAAAUUCUGCAUUCAUGCAAACACCAUUCACAUAUGUCUAGUUAGGAGCAUUUGUUUCAUUUUGAUCAUGUCAUCCUAAUCAUUAGGCAUAAUUAGGUUUAUUAUACAGGUCUUAUCUCCCUGAGAUUACAGUGGAGUAGACCGAAAAAUUUCAGAUCUUAUCUCCCUGAGGUUACAGUGGAGCAGAUUGAAGCCAGAGAUCUUAUCUCUCUGAAAUUACAGCGGAGUAGAUUGAAGCUAGUAAUCCUAUCUCUCUGAAGUUACAGUGGAGCGGAUUAAAAUAAAGGAUCUUAUCUCUCUGAAGUUACAGUAGAGUAGAUCACAUCAGAUUGAAGCCAGAGAUCUUAUCUCCCUGAGAUUACAGUGGAACAGACCGAAAAAUUUCAGAUCUUAUCUCCCUGAGGUUACAGUGGAGCAGAUUGAAGCCAGAGAUCUUAUCUCUCUGAAAUUACAGCGGAGUAGAUUGAAGCUAGUAAUCCUAUCUCUCUGAAGUUACAGUGGAGCGGAUUAAAAUAAAGGAUCUUAUCUCUCUGAAGUUACAGUAGAGUAGAUCACAUCAGAUUGAAGCCAGAGAUCUUAUCUCCCUGAGAUUACAGUGGAACAGACCGAAAAAUUUCAGAUCUUAUCUCCCUGAGGUUACAGUGGAGCAGAUUGAAGCCAGAGAUCUUAUCUCUCUGAAAUUACAGCGGAGUAGAUUGAAGCUAGUAAUCCUAUCUCUCUGAAGUUACAGUGGAGCGGAUUAAAAUAAAGGAUCUUAUCUCUCUGAAGUUACAGUAGAGUAGAUCACAUCAGAUUGAAGCCAGAGAUCUUAUCUCCCUGAUGUUGCAGUGGAACAGACUGAAAACAUAAAUUUCGUUCCCUUGCGAAGGAGAUUAAAGCUACAAAUUAGAUCGAAGCAACAAGGCACAGUGGACGGAAUAAGGCUACCUGAAGAAGAGAAGUGUCAAAAAAAAGUCAAGACUCGGCAAGACCGGGCAAAAUUGGCCCUUUUGAUGUCUUUGCUCUAUUCUCGUUACACGAAAAUGAGCAAAGAGGGGCAACUGUAAAAGUCCAUUUUUGCCCGGGCCCAUACCAACAAAAUAACCCAAAUAAUAAAACCCAAAACCUAAAAUCAACCUAGCCCAACAUCCAAGCCCAAUCCCAAAACCCUAGACUCCCACUUGCCUCUUCCCAUUCUCCCAUGUUGUCUGCCACCAGCACCACUCCCACUCUCCCAUGCUGUCUGCCACCACCAUGCCUUUUGCCGCACCUGCAAACAAGCAAAGGAAAAGGACAAAAAAUGGAGCAAUAAACAUUAACAGAAUAUUGUAUUUUUGGCUAUAAAAGCCACAAGCAAAAUCGGACCAAGGGAGAAAAAAGAAGAGAAACAAAAAAAAAGAGAAGGGGACUUUUGUAACAAAAAAGAGAAGAUUCGGCUUUUGAAAAAAUUGAAAGAAAUAAAAAAGGGCUUUAGAAGGUGAUUCACCUUGUUUUUUUUCGUUUUCUUUAUUUUCGUUCUAUUUCGGUUUUUCUAUAGUAUUUCUUUCUCUUUUUUAUUAUCAACACACAUAUAUAUAAGAUAAAAAAAAUAAAAGUAAAAAGGAGUUUACCUGUUUCCGGCGGCGGUGGAAAGAGGAAGAACCGAAAGGUCUCUUUCGAUUUUGGCCCUUUUCGCCGGGAUUUCGGCUUUUCUAACCCCAGAUCUGGACCCUAUUCGCAAAAAGGAGAAAAAGGGAGCUUUUUUUGGUUUUCCGGCCACCGCGAACGGCGGCGUCGUCGCCGGCGUCCGGCGACCGGUGCGGUGGUCGAUGGCCGGCAAAGGGGGCUCUUCCUCUCUUUUUACGGACACAAGAACAAUAAAAACAUAAACUUUGAAUCGGAGAAGUAAUUUUCGUUUCUUUAUUUUUGUGUGUUUUUAC
rnacentral:lncRNA from 1 species